AUGCAGGGGGGCAGCUUCGGGGCCUGCGAUCGUGAAGAGGGCUUGAGCCACCGCGCCCGGCGAGGAUAUUUCUUACAUCCAGAUAUCAGAUCAAGGAAAGUAGCCUUUGAAGCACAAAGUUCACGUUACUUAAAUGAAUUUGAAGAACUUACCAUCUUAGGAAAAGAUGGAUACAGAAAAAUUAUACAAGGUCAGGAAUAACUUAGAUGGUCAGUAUUAUGCAAUAAAAAAAACCCCUGAUUAAGGGUGCAAAUGAAACAGAUUGCAUGAAGGUCCUACGGGAAGUGAAGGUGCUGGCAGGUCUUCAGCACCCUACUAUCGCUGUCUAUCACAGCGCGUGGAUAGAGCACGUUCACAUGAUCCAGCCAGAGGCAGACAGGGCUGCCACUGAGUUGCCAUCUCUGAAAGUGCUCUCCGACCAAGAAGAGGACAGAGACCGACAUGAGGUUAAAAAUGAUGAAAGUAGCAGCUCAUCCAUUAUCUUUGCUGAGCCCACACCAGAAAAAAACUCUUUGGAGAAUCUGACACUGAAAAUCAAAUAACAAGCUGGCGAACUACACCACCAAUUUAAUCGUAAGAGACACUGCUGAAUUUCAGUCAAUCCUGGAGCUUCAGGAAAAUGGCUUGGCUGGUUUGUCUACCAGUUUGAUUGUGGAACAGGAGCUGCCGCUCAGGCAUAAUUCCCACCUAGAGGUGAGUUUCACAGCCACCAAGGAAUCUUCCAAAGAACAUAUCAACUUUUUGGGUCAGACAGAGGUGCAGUACCACCUGAUGCUGCACGUCCAGAUGCAGCCGUGUGAGCUCUCACUGUGGGACUGGAUAGACGAGAGAAACAAGCGGGGCUGGGAGUGUGUGGACGAGUCUGCCUGUCCUUAUGUCAUGGCCAGUGUUGCAACAAAAAUUUUUUAAGCAUUGGUAGGUGUGUUUUACCUACGUAACAUGGGAAUUGUGCACAGAGAUCAGAAGCCAAGAAGUAUUUUUCUUCAUGGCCCUGAUCAGCAGGUAAAAAUAGGAGACUCUGGUCUGACCUGCAGAGACAUCCUACAGAACACAGACUGGACCAAUAGAAACAGGAAGCGAACACCAACACAUAGGUCCAGAGUGGGUACCUGUCCGUGCGCUUCACCCAAACAUUCAGAAGCAUCUGAGUAUGAUGCCACGUCAGAUAUGUACCGCUUGGAUGUGAUCCUGCUAGAGCUCUUUCAGCCGUUUGGAACAGAAAUGGAGCAUGCAGAAGUUCUAACAGGUUUAAGAACUGGUCAGUCACCAGAAUCCCUCAGUAAAAGGUGUCCAGUGCAAGCGAAGUAUAUACAGCACUUAACGGGGAGGAACUCAUUGCGGAGACCAUCUGCUAUUCAGCUGCUGCAGAGUGAACUUUUCCAAAAUUCUGGAAGUGUUAGCCUCACCUUACAGAUGAAGAUAAUGGAACAAGAAAAAGAAACUGCAGAACUAAAGAAGGGGCUAAACCUUUCUCAAGACAAAGGGGUGAGGGAUGACAGAAAGGAUGGGGGCAUACAUGUCUAGCCUUCCUCAGGCUGUAUCUGUAAGAUGAAAGUGGACUUUAACUUAAGGUAGUUAACUGGAAUGUAAAUUUUUCAUCUUUAUUAGGGUAUAGUUGGUAUAAUUCUUAGUUCUAUUUAGUAAGGCUUUACAAGACUUAUUAAAGACAAGCUGCUGCUCCUUCCCUUCCUGCCCCACAAGCUCCUUUUCCUAAAUUUCCUACCUAAAUAUUACCAUAUGCCUAGUCUCUGAAACUUUUAAAAAACUUAGACCUCAUCCUUAAUUAUUUUUUCCUUUCAACUCUGUUGACCUUCUCUCUGGUCUUCCUCUAGAAGGUUCUACCGCAGAAAUUGACGUGUGCUCCCUGCCCCUGUCACUGCCCAAGCCCAGGCCUGCACACUCACCGGACUGUGCAGUUUUGACAGCCGCCAGUCUUCCUGCCUCUUUCACACUGCUGCUGAAGUUAAUUAUUGGAAGGAUGCCUGAUCAUUUCAUUCCUUGGCUCGAAACCUUCUGCUGCCUCUAAGCUUUUAGCUGUCAACUUCUUAACAGUGUGCAACUUCCAAUGUUUUUUUUGUUUGUUUGUUUUGAGACAGCGUUUCGCUCUUGUUACCCAGGCUGGAGUGCAAUGGCGUGAUCUCGGCUCACUGCAACCUCUGC